rnacentral:lncRNA from 1 species
GAGUUUUGUUCUUGUUGCCCAGGCUGGAGUGCAAUCGUGCGAUCUUGGCUCACCGCAACCUCCGCCUCCCGGGUUCAAGCAAUUCUCCUGCCUCAGCCUCCCAAGUAGCUGGGAUUAUAGGCAUGCAUCACCACACCCGGCUAAUUUUGUAUUUUUAGUAGAUGGGGUUUCUCCAUGUUGGUCAGGCUGGUCUUGAACUCCCGACCUCAGGUGAUCUGCCCACCUUGGCUUCCCAAAGUGCUACAAUUAUAGGCAUGAAUCACCACGCCCGGCGUUUUUACUAUUAUUUUUAAAAUUACUGCUCCUUGCAGAGCAGGGCUACCCUAUAGGCAAUGUGCCCACAGUAGCCAACCUUUAAUAUAUUUAAGAGUAAAUUGAGGCCGGGCAUGGUGGCUCAUGCCUGUAAUCUCAACACUUUUGGAGGCCUGAGGCGGGCGGAUCACUUGAGGUCAGGAGUUCGAGACCAGCCUGGCCAACAUGG